GCCGCAUCGUGGGGGAUACCGCCGGGAAACCGGUGCUAAUACCGCAUAUGGUCAUGCAGCAAUGGAUGAAGAAAGCAGCAAUGCGCGAUGUGAGGGGCCUGCGGCCGAUUAGCUAGUUGGUGGGGUAACGGCUCACCAAGGCGACGAUCGGUAGCUGGUCUGAGAGGAUGGUCAGCCACACUGGGACUGAGACACGGCCCAG
rnacentral:rRNA from 1 species